UGCGCAGGCGGCGGUUCGCGUGGAUAGAUGAAAUCUCCUGGCUUACCUGGGAGGAUGGUAUCCAGACGGGAUCGCUUGAGGGUCGGAGAGGGGCGUGGAAUUCCGGGUGGAGCGGUGAAAUGCGUAGAGAUCCGGAGGAACACCGACGGCGUAGGCAGCGCCCUGGACGACACCUGACGCUGAGGCACGAAAGCUGGGGAGGCAAACA
rnacentral:rRNA from 1 species